AGUGAUCUAAUGGCUCCACUCAUUGAGGUAGUUGUUGAGUGAUCUAAUGGCUCCACUCAUUGAGGUAGUUGUUGAGUGAUCUAAUGGCUCCACUCAUUGAGGUAGUUGUUGAGUGAUCUAAUGGCUCCACUCAUUGAGGUAGUUGUUGAGUGAUCUAAUGGCUCCACUCAUUGAGGUAGUUGUUGAGUGAUCUAAUGGCUCCACUCAUUGAGGUAGUUGUUGAGUGAUCUAAUGGCUCCACUCAUUGAGGUAGUUGUUGAGUGAUCUAAUGGCUCCACUCAUUGAGGUAGUUGUUGAGUGAUCUAAUGGCUCCACUCAUUUGGCUUUGAAUAUGUUGAAAUAAAGGAUUGUUCAUGUUU